rnacentral:rRNA from 1 species
CCCUGUGACAUACCUAUAACGUUGCCUCGGCGGGAACAGACGGCCCCGUAACACGGGCCGCCCCCGCCAGAGGACCCCCUAACUCUGUUUCUAUAAUGUUUCUUCUGAGUAAACAAGCAAAUAAAUUAAAACUUUCAACAACGGAUCUCUUGGCUCUGGCAUCGAUGAAGAAACGCAGCGAAAUGCGAUAAGUAAUGUGAAUUGCAGAAUUCAGUGAAUCAUCGAAUCUUUGAACGCACAUUGCGCCCGCCAGUAUUCUGGCGGGCAUGCCUGUUCGAGCGUCAUUACAACCCUCAGGCCCCCGGGCCUGGCGUUGGGGAUCGGCGGAAGCCCCCUGCGGGCACAACGCCGUCCCCCAAAUACAGUGGCGGUCCCGCCGCAGCUUCCAUUGCGUAGUAGCUAACACCUCGCAACUGGAGAGCGGCGCGGCCACGCCGUAAAACACCCAACUUCUGAAUGUUGACCUCGAAUCAGGUAGGAAUACCCGCU